CUCUCCUUUUUUCUCUAAAUUCAGUUUUCCUUUUUCCUUUUCUGCCUUCUCUCUACCCUUACACUCAUUUGAACCGUUGAAAUUUCAAAUAGGUGGUGUUCUUUCGCUCAAGGAGUUGAGAGCUUCCCUUCUAUCCGAUUAGAUUUCCAUUUGAACGGGUGGUUGUAGGCCACUGUUUGGGUUUUCUAUGUGAAGGCACUGUUAGGGCACUCUAGUUGGCUAUACUGCUCGACUUCAAGGAACGGCAGUCGUGGCAGCAGAAGCAGGAAGAAAAAUUAUAGAAGGCAAUCUUAAGUGCGUGGGUCCUUGCACUGGAGAUUGCAAGAAAGUUUGCGCAGGACAAGGGUUUAAGAAUGGUUUCUGUAAUGAGCAAAA